CUACCAGAGGCAGAGCGUGCCGCGUGGAUGACAUACACUGGACUGAUCUUCCCCUAAUCGUUGUACAUGGAAACUGCUAAUAUAAUGGCAAAAAUAACAGCGAAGUGAAAUUUGAGCUCCUUAUCAUGUGACAACUAUCAUAGAAGGUAACAUGGUCUAUGUAAGUCUGAAAUUAAUUGGA